UGGCUCAGGAUGAACGCUAGCGACAGGCUUAACACAUGCAAGUCGAGGGGCAGCGGGGGUAGCGAUACCCGCCGGCGACCGGCGCACGGGUGAGUAACGCGUAUGCAACUUGCCUAUCAGAGGGGGAUAACCCGGCGAAAGUCGGACUAAUACCGCAUGAAGCAGGGGCCCCGCAUGGGGAUAUUUGCUAAAGAUUCAUCGCUGAUAGAUAGGCAUGCGUUCCAUUAGGCAGUUGGCGGGGUAACGGCCCACCAAACCGACGGUGGAUAGGGGUUCUGAGAGGAAGGUCCCCCACAUUGGUACUGAGACACGGACCAAACUCCUACGGGAGGCAGCAGUGAGGAAUAUUGGUCAAUGGCCGAGAGGCUGAACCAGCCAAGUCGCGUGAGGGAUGAAGGUUCUAUGGAUCGUAAACCUCUUUUAUAAGGGAAUAAAGUGCGGGACGUGUCCCGUUUUGUAUGUACCUUAUGAAUAAGGAUCGGCUAACUCCGUGCCAGCAGCCGCGGUAAUACGGAGGAUCCGAGCGUUAUCCGGAUUUAUUGGGUUUAAAGGGUGCGUAGGCGGCCUUUUAAGUCAGCGGUGAAAGUCUGUGGCUCAACCAUAGAAUUGCCGUUGAAACUGGGGGGCUUGAGUAUGUUUGAGGCAGGCGGAAUGCGUGGUGUAGCGGUGAAAUGCAUAGAUAUCACGCAGAACCCCGAUUGCGAAGGCAGCCUGCCAAGCCAUUACUGACGGUGAUGCACGAAAGCGUGGGGAUCAAACAGGAUUAGAUACCCUGGUAGUCCACGCAGUAAACGAUGAUCACUAGCUGUUUGCGAUACACUGUAAGCGGCACAGCGAAAGCGUUAAGUGAUCCACCUGGGGAGUACGCCGGCAACGGUGAAACUCAAAGGAAUUGACGGGGGCCCGCACAAGCGGAGGAACAUGUGGUUUAAUUCGAUGAUACGCGAGGAACCUUACCCGGGUUUGAACGCAUUCGGACCGAGGUGGAAACACCUUUUCUAGCAAUAGCCGUUUGCGAGGUGCUGCAUGGUUGUCGUCAGCUCGUGCCGUGAGGUGUCGGCUUAAGUGCCAUAACGAGCGCAACCCUUGCCACUAGUUACUAACAGGUAAAGCUGAGGACUCUGGUGGGACUGCCAGCGUAAGCUGCGAGGAAGGCGGGGAUGACGUCAAAUCAGCACGGCCCUUACAUCCGGGGCGACACACGUGUUACAAUGGCGUGGACAAAGGGAAGCCACCUGGCGACAGGGAGCGAAUCCCCAAACCACGUCUCAGUUCGGAUCGGAGUCUGCAACCCGACUCCGUGAAGCUGGAUUCGCUAGUAAUCGCGCAUCAGCCAUGGCGCGGUGAAUACGUUCCCGGGCCUUGUACACACCGCCCGUCAAGCCAUGGGAGCCGGGGGUACCUGAAGUCCGUAACCGCGAGGAUCGGCCUAGGGUAAAACUG
rnacentral:rRNA from 1 species